rnacentral:tRNA from 1 species
GCCGGGAUGACAGAGUCUGGCCUAUUGUGCCGGUCUUGAGAACCGGUGACCCUUGACGGGUCUCCAGGGUUCAAAUCCCUGUCCCGGCG